UGAGUAACGCGUGAGGGAUGUGCCUUGAGGUGGGGAAUAACUGUGUAAAACUACAGCUAAUACCGCAUAAGCCCUUCGGGGGAAAGAUUUAUCGCCUUUGAAGCAGCCCGCGUCAAAUUACCUAUGUGGUAGGGUAAUGGCCUACCAGAGCGACUAUCUGUAGCUGGUCUGACAAGAUGACCAGCCAAUCUGGAACUGAUACACGGCCACGACUCCUCCGGCAGGCACCGAUGGGGAAUAUUGAAUAAUGGGCGCAGGCCUGAUCCAGCCAUGCCGAGUGAGUGAUGACGGCCUUACGGUUGUAGACCUCUGUUAGCAGGGACCAUUAUGACUGUACCUGUAUAAUAACCCCCGGCAAACUUCUUGCCAUCAACCUCGGUAAUACUAACGGGGCUAGCGUAGUUCGGAAUUACUGGGUCUAAAGCGCACGUAGGCGGAUUUUUAAGUCAGGGGUGAAAUCUCGAGGCUCAACCUCGGAACUGCCUUUGAUACUGUAGAUCUUGAGUUCGGAAGAUGUUGGUGGAAC
rnacentral:rRNA from 1 species